rnacentral:lncRNA from 1 species
AACAAUUAAAUAUUGACAACUAACAACUAGUACAAACCUAGUAUCAGAAAGAAACCUCAACUUUCAAUAUCUCAUGUAUAAUUAAUAAUUUUAUUACGAAAACUUAGUAUAAUCUAAUCCUCCUACAAAGUUGGUUAAAUUUGGCAAAAUGCUCCUCCCUUCUAUCCCAGUGUGUAUGAGUGUAGUCACCCGCUUGAUGAAUAUAUAUAAACUCUACCUGUUAAAAUAUAACAAUUUUGUCAUCAAGAUCUCUGCUUCCCAAUAAAUAAACAUGAACAUUGUGUCUCGGCCAAAAUUCUAUAACAACAAAAUGGCUAUUGCUAAUUAAUAGUUUCAUUUCGACUUCCCCUUCUUUGUCUUUGACGACCCCGUCUUCCCAGACUUCUUAUUAGGUUUGUUCUUCACUUUCAUAGGUUUGCCUUUUGCUUUCAACUUGCUUGGAGUUGUUGAAGAAUUGCCUUGCUGAUUCUUCCAAUUCCUCUCUUUCUUGACUGUAUAUUUUGAAACAGCCUAUUUCCACAAGACAGUUUAGUUUAUACAAGAUAUUCUAUUGUUUUACUCCAGAAAAGCUAAAGCAAUGAUAAAAGUUGACUUCAAAUGCAUACCUUAUCAAUGUUAAGUAUCUCAUGUGAAUUCUGUGAAAUUAUUUUGCUUAGAACCUUGUCAGUUUGCUCCUUCUCUUGUCUGCCAAUUCCUGAACCUUCCACGACUGGUAGAAACUGAAUAAAGACAAAAGGGGUAAAGAAUUAUGGAGCCUUCAAUGGCAGAAAUAAAUGAAAGAGAUUGCAUUUCCAUGGGUAAGUUCAAACCUUGCGAUUCUUUCCUUGCUUUUUGGCAGGCUUUUCUCCUGGCAACUUCUUGUCAAACUUCCCACCACUGGCUGUUGCAGUUGCCGCAUUGGCUCUUAUUUGGUACGUGUAAGUCUAAAGUUCGCAUCUUUGGGGGAUUUAUGUGCUCGGACCUGGGAGAAGGAGAAGCCUCUUAUUAGUCAUCAGCACAAUCUGUUUAUGGAUUAUUCAGUCAUUAACAAUUAAAUAUUGACAACUAACAACUAGUACAAACCUAGUAUCAGAAAGAAACCUCAACUUUCAAUAUCUCAUGUAUAAUUAAUAAUUUUAUUACGAAAACUUAGUAUAAUCUAAUCCUCCUACAAAGUUGGUUAAAUUUGGCAAAAUGCUCCUCCCUUCUAUCCCAGUGUGUAUGAGUGUAGUCACCCGCUUGAUGAAUAUAUAUAAACUCUACCUGUUAAAAUAUAACAAUUUUGUCAUCAAGAUCUCUGCUUCCCAAUAAAUAAACAUGAACAUUGUGUCUCGGCCAAAAUUCUAUAACAACAAAAUGGCUAUUGCUAAUUAAUAGUUUCAUUUCGACUUCCCCUUCUUUGUCUUUGACGACCCCGUCUUCCCAGACUUCUUAUUAGGUUUGUUCUUCACUUUCAUAGGUUUGCCUUUUGCUUUCAACUUGCUUGGAGUUGUUGAAGAAUUGCCUUGCUGAUUCUUCCAAUUCCUCUCUUUCUUGACUGUAUAUUUUGAAACAGCCUAUUUCCACA